rnacentral:rRNA from 1 species
GUGAGGAAUUUUCCGCAAUGGGCGAAAGCCUGACGGAGCAAUGCCGCGUGAAGGAUGAAGGCCUAUGGGUUGUAAACUUCUUUUCUCAGAAAAGAAUUAUGACGGUAUCUGAGGAAUAAGCAUCGGCUAACUCUGUGCCAGCAGCCGCGGUAAGACAGAGGAUGCAAGCGUUAUCCGGAAUGAUUGGGCGUAAAGCGUCUGUAGGUUGUUUAAAAAGUAUUCUGUCAAAGAUUAGGGCUUAACCCUAGAUAGGCAGAAUAAACUUUUAAGCUAGAGUUUGGUAGAGGCAGAGGGAAUUCCCGGUGGAGCGGUGAAAUGAGUAGAUAUCGGGAGGAACACCAAAGGCGAAGGCACUCUGCUGGGCCAAUACUAACACUGAGAGACGAAAGCGAGGGGAGCAAAUGGGAUUAGAUACCCGUGUAGUCC